GACGAACGCUGGCGGCGUGCUUAACACAUGCAAGUCGAACGGAAAGGCCCUGCUUUUGUUGGGUGCUCGAUUGGCGAACGGGUGAGUAACACGUGAGUAUCCUGCCCUUGACUUUGGGAUAACUUCAGGAAACUGGGGCUAAUACCGGAUAUGAGCUCCUGCUGCAUGGGGGGGGUUGGAAAAUUUCGGCGGUUGUGUCUGGACUCGCGGCUUACCCGUCUGUUGGUGGGGUAGGCGCUUACCAAGGCUUUGACGGGUAGCCGGCCUGAGAGGGUGACCGGCCACAUUGGGACUGAGAUACGGCCCAGAAUCCUACGGGAGGCAGUAGUGGGGAAUAUUGCACAAUGGGCGGAAGCCUGAUGCAGCAACGCCGCGUGCGGGAUGACGGGCUUCGGGUUGUAAACCGCUUUCGAAUGUGACGAAGCGUGAGUGACGGUAAUGGGUAAAGAAGCACCGGCUAACUACGUG
rnacentral:rRNA from 1 species